rnacentral:rRNA from 2 species
AGGCUCUACACAUGCAAGUCGAGCGGUAGAGAGAAGCUUGCUUCUCUUGAGAGCGGCGGACGGGUGAGUAAUGCCUAGGAAUCUGCCUAGUGGUGGGGGAUAACGUUCGGAAACGGACGCUAAUACCGCAUACGUCCUACGGGAGAAAGCGGGGGAUCUUCGGACCUCGCGCCAUUAGAUGAGCCUAGGUCGGAUUAGCUAGUUGGUGAGGUAAUGGCUCACCAAGGCGACGAUCCGUAACUGGUCUGAGAGGAUGAUCAGUCACACUGGAACUGAGACACGGUCCAGACUCCUACGGGAGGCAGCAGUGGGGAAUAUUGGACAAUGGGCGAAAGCCUGAUCCAGCCAUGCCGCGUGUGUGAAGAAGGUCUUCUGAUUGUGAAGUACUUUAUGUUGGGAG